rnacentral:tRNA from 1 species
GGCACGGUGGCCAAGUGGUAAGGCGUCGGUCUUGUAAACCGAAGAUCACAGGUUCAAACCCUGUCCGUGCCU